rnacentral:rRNA from 1 species
GAUGAACGCUGGCGGCGUGCCUAAUACAUGCAAGUCGAGCGAACGGACGAGAAGCUUGCUUCUCUGAUGUUAGCGGCGGACGGGUGAGUAACACGUGGAUAACCUACCUAUAAGACUGGGGUAACUUCGGGAAACCGGAGCUAAUACCGGAUAAUAUUUUGAACCGCAUGGUUCAAAAGUGAAAGACGGUCUUGCUGUCACUUAUAGAUGGAUCCGCGCUGCAUUAGCUAGUUGGUAAGGUAACGGCUUACCAAGGCAACGAUGCAUAGCCGACCUGAGAGGGUGAUCGGCCACACUGGAACUGAGACACGGUCCAGACUCCUACGGGAGGCAGCAGUAGGGAAUCUUCCGCAAUGGGCGAAAGCCUGACGGAGCAAAGCCGCGUGAGUGAUGAAGGUCUUCGGAUCGUAAAACUCUGUUAUUAGGGAAGAACAUAUGUGUAAGUAACUGUGCACAUCUUGACGGUACCUAAUCAGAAAGCCACGGCUAACUACGUG